GGCGAGGAGCGCAGAGGAGUCAGAGCCAGGGGACACACCUGGCUGCUGACCUCAGGACACCCUGGGCUGGUCCAAGGAGACGCACCUCCCGGGGACACAGAAUCCCACCCCCGGUAGCCCUGACCGUCCAGCUCCCGCGCCUCCCAGCCCUACCGCAUCCCGCGUCUGCAGGGCGGGGCCGGGCCGUUGGGUCGCCCCUCCCACUCUCCACUCCUUUUCUCCCUCGGAAACCACCGAGCACAAAGGCAGCAUUGAUUCUCCGCCACCCUCAGAGCGGUCUCCGGAAGGCUCCGCCACCACGCGCUCGCCUCACCCCUGCGCGGAGCCACCAAGAGCACCGUGUUCCGACCCUCUGCCCUGGGAUCCGAGCUAGCGAUCCUCUCCGUCGCGCGCCCGGAGUGCUGGCCUCACCUGUGGGUCGCCUUUGGGUUCUGGCCUCAGGCCCUGACACUUUCAGAGCCAGAGGGGAGCAGCUUUCUCUGCAGCUUGCUCCCCCAGCGCAGUCCUUAUGGGAGGAGCUGGCAGGGGCCUCCGCUGCCUACGUCCUACCUCUUUUCCUGGAUAAACACAGCUCUGUCUGCGCGGCCAUCAGCCCGGUCUUCUGACUUCCUCCAGCUGAAGCCAGGUUUCUAGCAACAAUCCAUUCCUGUGCCCAGGCCUCCUCUGCUGAAACUGGGCUGCUUAGGGGUGGGGGAGGGCUACAGAGAAGAGGGAGACGGCCAUCAGUGGACAGUGGCCACUUCUUUGGUGCUCGGUUCCAACCCCAGCCCUCACAGGUGAAGUCCGUCUUCUGUAAAACCCUCCUGGUUGAAAUCCUGCCUUGGCCCCCAGUGCCCUGUUCUGGAGCCAUUCCAAUAGCUCCAAGGCAGAGUGACUUGCAGUGAUCAGUUGUCUGCAUUAUUCUGGCUAAUAGUUCUCUGAAUUAUUGUGGCUAAAGGAAAAGUGGCCAGACUCAGGAUUUCUGGACUUAGAAAUACUGAAGAUAAAGCUGGAUCCAACAGUCAGGAUCAAGCUGGCCUAUGUCCUCCAUCCCUGACAGAUCUUAGGAAGCACAGGCCACCACAGACAAGAUGAGACCAUCAGUUGCAGUCUAGACACACCUACCAUCCUUCAGUCUCUGAAAGGAAGCAAGGCUAGUUCCUCGCCUAGGACCACUCUUCUCCUUCAUGCUUCAGCUCUGGAGGCCCUCACUGACACCCUCCCACCUAAAUUAGGGGCACCUGCUGUACACUUUCAUAGUACCUCAUACUUUUCCUUUAUGGCAUUGAUUACAGUUUUUCCCCCUCUAUUUAUGUGGUUAUUUGUUUAAUGUCCAUCUCUCUUACUAGACUAAGAAUCUUAAAAACAGUGCUUGGUGCAAAGCAGAUACUCAAUCAGGAUGUAUUUGAUGAGUGAAGUAGUAAGCAAAAUUAUACUUGAAUCAAUUUGUUCAUCCAUUCAUUGAAGUGCCUAAAAUGCACCAGGCACUGUGCUAGGGGGAUACAUAGAAUAGAGAGCUGUCUAAGGGGAGAGACAGACAAUAAACAUGCAAACAACAAUAAGACAAAUCCUGAAAUGCAGGAAAAAAGAUGAAAUAAACCAGUGAAUGCAAUGAUUAUUGUGUCAUCUAAUACUUGAAGAUUUUAACAAAGCAAGUGUUUGUUUUGUGGCGAUCCCUGGUGGCCUCCAGACCUUCCAUUCAUGUGGCUUCU
rnacentral:lncRNA from 1 species